rnacentral:lncRNA from 1 species
CGUUUUGCCCCCCGCCAUGAACCUUUACAACUUUUGCCCAUGUUCUUACGUCGCGUAAGCACGUUAGCACGUUCCUAGGCCUCCUUCUGUCAUCAGGGAAGUUACAGUGUUCUGUAACAAACAUGAACGGAAUAUCUAUGAUCAAUAUUAAAGUUGGUAUACCGCUAAACAGAGCAGUGUUAUAGUUUAUUUUAAUAAAUCUUUGUGAGUUAAAACCUACUUUACUUACGAUACAUCAUGUUAAUUUAAUUAUGUUGGAAGUAUAAAUAAAGAUCCAAAAGAACAAAACUGCUUUAAAAAGUUAGUGGUGAACUCAUUGUAACAAGUAUGGAAAUGAACUAUGUGAAUUAAUUAUAGUAUCGAUAGAAAUUGCUGUAGACCAUUAUCACUGUUAUAACAUUACAGAACAAAUAUUUAAAAUAAACAGUUUAAUGUGACAUAAAUCUUGUUUUCCCUUUUAGUUUAUAUUUGAAGUGUUUGAGAAGACUAAAAUGUCGUGAUUUCAAUAU